CGUAUGGUACCUGGCAAAAGAUCAGGUGGCGAUACGGCCUUAACAGAGGU
rfam:Thalassomonas actiniarum strain A5K-106 contig_86, whole genome shotgun sequence.